rnacentral:rRNA from 1 species
CAACCUCAGUUCGGAUUGAAGGCUGAAAUUCGCCUUCAUGAAGCUGGAAUUGCUAGUAAUGGCAGGUCAGCAUACUGCCGUGAAUACGUUCCCGGGCCUUGUACACACCGCCCGUCACACCAUGAGAGUUGGGAAUACCCGAAGCCUGUGAGCUAACUUUUAGAGGCAGCAGUCGAAGGUAGAAUCAAUGAUUGGGGUGAAGUCGUAACAAGGUACC